ACCGUCUUCUUAUCACCACGAUAACGAAACACCCGUGGCGAGAGAGCCUGUGUCACUUCAGAGAGGAAUUCCCUCUGUAUUAUCAAAAGAAUCAGGCUACCUGUGCAAGAAGAUGCUGAUGACAGCCUUAUAAAAGCUCUUAUUUACGCCAAGGACUGAAGAGGUCCAGUAUCAACAUCACGGCGGGUAAGUACAAGGAUGACAUGUCUUUGCCCCGUUUCCUGUACUGUC
rnacentral:lncRNA from 1 species